rnacentral:rRNA from 1 species
AAAACGGAGAGUUUGAUCCUGGCUCAGGAUGAACGCUGGCGGUAUGCUUAACACAUGCAAGUCGAACGGUGUCUUCGGACACAGUGGCGGACGGGUGAGUAACGCGUGAGAAUCUGGCUCUAGGUCUGGGACAACCACUGGAAACGGUGGCUAAUACCGGAUGUGCCGAGAGGUGAAAGGUUAACUGCCUAGAGAUGAGCUCGCGUCUGAUUAGCUAGUUGGAAGUGUAAUGGACUCCCAAGGCGACGAUCAGUAGCUGGUCUGAGAGGACGAUCAGCCACACUGGGACUGAGACACGGCCCAGACUCCUACGGGAGGCAGCAGUGGGGAAUUUUCCGCAAUGGGCGAAAGCCUGACGGAGCAAUACCGCGUGAGGGAGGAAGGCUCUUGGGUCGUAAACCUCUUUUCUCAGGGAAGAACACAAUGACGGUACCUGAGGAAUAAGCAUCGGCUAACUCCGUGCCAGCAGCCGCGGUAAUACGGAGGAUGCAAGCGUUAUCCGGAAUGAUUGGGCGUAAAGCGUCCGCAGGUGGCAAUGUAAGUCUGCUGUUAAAGAGUCUAGCUCAACUAGAUAAAAGCAGUGGAAACUACAUAGCUAGAGUACGUUCGGGGCAGAGGGAAUUCCUGGUGUAGCGGUGAAAUGCGUAGAGAUCAGGAAGAACACCGGUGGCGAAGGCGCUCUGCUAGGCCGUAACUGACACUGAGGGACGAAAGCUAGGGGAGCGAAUGGGAUUAGAUACCCCAGUAGUCCUAGCCGUAAACGAUGGAUACUAGGCGUGGCUUGUAUCGACCCGAGCCGUGCCGUAGCUAACGCGUUAAGUAUCCCGCCUGGGGAGUACGCUUAAGCAACGGUGAAACUCAAAGGAAUUGACGGGGGGCCCGCACAAGCGGUGGAGUAUGUGGUUUAAUUCGAUGCAACGCGAAGAACCUUACCAAGGCUUGACAUGUCGCGAAUCUUCUUGAAAGGGAAGAGUGCCUUCGGGAGCGCGAACACAGGUGGUGCAUGGCUGUCGUCAGCUCGUGUCGUGAGAUGUUGGGUUAAGUCCCGCAACGAGCGCAACCCUCGUUUUUAGUUGCCAGCAUUAAGUUGGGCACUCUAGAGAGACUGCCGGUGACAAACCGGAGGAAGGUGGGGAUGACGUCAAGUCAGCAUGCCCCUUACGCCUUGGGCUACACACGUACUACAAUGCUCCGGACAGAGGGCAGCAAGCAUGCGAAUGCAAGCAAAUCCCGUAAACCGGAGCUCAGUUCAGAUCGCAGGCUGCAACUCGCCUGCGUGAAGGAGGAAUCGCUAGUAAUUGCAGGUCAGCAUACUGCAGUGAAUUCGUUCCCGGGCCUUGUACACACCGCCCGUCACACCAUGGAAGCUGGUAGUGCCCGAAGUCAUUACUCCAACCAUUCGUGGAGGAGGAUGCCUAAGGCAGGACUGGUGACUGGGGUGAAGUCGUAACAAGGUAGCCGUACCGGAAGGUGUGGCUGGAUCACCUCCUUUUU